rnacentral:misc_RNA from 1 species
GAUGAAGAACGCAGCGAAAUGCGAUAAGUAGUGUGAAUUGCAGAAUUCAGUGAAUCAUCGAAUCUUUGAACGCACAUUGCGCCCUUUGGUAUUCCAAAGGGCAUGCCUGUUCGAGCGUCAUUUGUACCCUCAAGCUUUGCUUGGUGUUGGGCGUCUUGUCUCUAGCUUUGCUGGAGACUCGCCUUAAAGUAAUUGGCAGCCGGCCUACUGGUUUCGGAGCGCAGCACAAGUCGCACUCUCUAUCAGCAAAGGUCUAGCAUCCAUUAAGCCUUUUUUUCAAAUUUUGACCUCGGAUCAGGUAGGGAUACCCGCUGAACUUAAGCAUAUCAAUAAGCGGAGGA